rnacentral:rRNA from 1 species
UACGAAGGGGGCUAGCGUUGCUCGGAAUCACUGGGCGUAAAGCGCACGUAGGCGGAUUGCUAAGUCAGGGGUGAAAUCCUGGAGCUCAACUCCAGAACUGCCUUUGAUACUGAAGAUCUUGAGUUCGGGAGAGGUGAGUGGAACUGCGAAGUGUAGAGGUGAAAUUCGUAGAUAUUCGCAAGAACACCAGUGGCGAAGGCGGCUCACUGGCCCGGUACUGACGCUGAGGUGCGAAAGCGUGGGGAGCAAACAGG